UGCUUGUUAAUGAUUUGCUUAUUUACCCAAAUUUCCCUUGUGUUUUCUUUUAUAUGAUCACAUUGAUCUAUGUAGCAUUUACCAGGAGAAAAUGAGCUUUCUCAGGAUAGAAGAAUAUAUGACAUUGAGUAUGCAUUCUCACUCCCCCAAAUAAGCUAGAUUGACUUUCCUUUACUUAGAUAUAUUUAAAGAUAUUUAUUAUAGUUUUCAACUAAUAAUUUUAUUAAGAAGUAUAUGUCCAAGGGAGAAACAAGCAUUUCUUAAAUUGCUGCCUUUAAUGUGUUUCAAGGAGGUUACAUCUUACUUUCUCUGACCCAUAUUACCAAGCUUCAGAUACAUUUAUUACAAUCUGAUUUGCUUGCAAAAUGAACCUAUAUUAGUAUUGGAGAAACAUCUGUCACGUGUUUAACAAAUUGUUUAGGCAGCAAUGUUUUAAUCAGAACAGUCUCAAAAUAGGUAUAAGCAAAUGGGAGGUGCCUUACUAGACAACUAGAAUCUUUGAUUCUAGGGUUGCAAAAUUGACUGAGAAAGAUCAUCCCUUAGACUGUAAGCAUUGAGUCUGCAUGGUCUGGAAUCUGCACAGUUCUCGUAAGAAGUUAUGGGUUGGGACCAGAAAAGGCCCCCACAUUUUUCAGCACAAACACCAUUAAAAAGCUGUGUCUUAGUUUUAAAUUCUAAAGCUGAAGUAAAGAAGCAACUGUGGUCAGUAGCAUAGGAAAUUUUUUAUUCCUGUUAAAUUCAUUAUCUGAGUUUAAAUUGGUCAUGAAUUACAUAAAUAUAAAAAUGCAUAUAAAAAUGCCUAAAUAUGUUUUUAUCCCAGAAGUUUAUUAAGCAUAUAUACUUAAUGGUAUUA
rnacentral:lncRNA from 1 species